rnacentral:rRNA from 1 species
AGAGCCUACGGGACGCAGCAGUGAGGAAUAUUGGUCAAUGGGCGGGAGCCUGAACCAGCCAAGUCGCGUGAAGGAAGAAGGUACUUAGUAUUGUAAAAUUCUUUUGUCGGGGAACAAAGGCGGAGACGCGUCUCCGGAUGAGUGUACCCGAAGAAAAAGCAUCGGCUAACUCCGUGCCAGCAGCCGCGGUAAUACGGAGGAAGAGAGCGAUAUCCGGAUUUAUUGGGUUUAAAGUGUGCGCAGGAGGGAGAUAAA